rnacentral:rRNA from 1 species
CCUACGGGAGGCAGCAGUGAGGAAUAUUGGUCAAUGGACGCAAGUCUGAACCAGCCAAGCAGCGUGAAGGAAGACGGCUCUAUGAGUUGUAAACUGCUUUUGUAAGAGGGUAAACGCAGAUACGCGUAUCUGUCUGCAAGUAUCGUACGAAUAAGGAUCGGCUAACUCCGUGCCAGCAGCCGCGGUAAUACGGAGGAUUCGAGCGUUAUCCGGAUUUAUUGGGUUUAAAGGGGGCGUAGGCGGGCGGAUAAGUUAGAGGUGAAAUCCUGAGGCUUAACCGCGGAAUUGCCGUUGAUACUGAUAGGCUAGAGAGCAGUUGAGGUAGGCGGAAUGCAUGGUGUAGCGGUGAAAUGCUUAGAGAUCAUACAGAACACCGAUUGCGAAGGCAGCUUACCAAGCUACUUCUGACGUUGAGGCACGAAAGCGUGGGGAUCAAACAGGAUUAGAUACCCGGGUAGUC